CCCGCACAAGUAGCGGAGCAUGUGGUUUAAUUCGAAGCAACGCGAAGAACCUUACCUAAGCUUGACAUCCCAAUGACAUCUCCUUAAUCGGAGAGUUCCCUUCGGGGACAUUGGUGACAGGUGGUGCAUGGUUGUCGUCAGCUCGUGUCGUGAGAUGUUGGGUUAAGUCCCGCAACGAGCGCAACCCUUGUCUUUAGUUGCCAUCAUUAAGUUGGGCACUCUAGAGAGACUGCCAGGGAUAACCUGGAGGAAGGUGGGGAUGACGUCAAAUCAUCAUGCCCCUUAUGCUUAGGGCUACACACGUGCUACAAUGGGUAGUACAGAGGGUUGCCAAGCCGUAAGGCGGAGCUAAUCCCUUAAAGCUACUCUCAGUUCGGAUUGUAGGCUGAAACUCGCCUACAUGAAGCUGGAGUUACUAGUAAUCGCAGAUCAGAAUGCUGCGGUGAAUGCGUUCCCGGGUCUUGUACACACCGCCCGUCACACCACGGGAGUUGGAGACGCCCGAAGCCGAUUAUCUAACCUUUUGGAAGAAGUCGUCGAAGGUGGAAU
rnacentral:rRNA from 1 species